rnacentral:rRNA from 1 species
UGACCUCAAAUCAGGUAGGACUACCCGCUGAACUUAAGCAUAUCAAUAAGCGGAGGAAAAGAAACUAACAAGGAUUCCCCUAGUAACUGCGAGUGAAGCGGGAAAAGCUCAAAUUUAAAAUCUGGCAGUCUUUUGGCUGUCCGAGUUGUAAUCUAGAGAAGUGUUAUCCGCGCUGGACCAUGUACAAGUCUCCUGGAAUGGAGCAUCAUAGAGGGUGAGAAUCCCGUCUUUGACAUGGACUUCCAGGGCUUUGUGAUGCGCUCUCAAAGAGUCGAGUUGUUUGGGAAUGCAGCUCAAAAUGGGUGGUAAAUUCCAUCUAAAGCUAAAUAUUGGCGAGAGACCGAUAGCGAACAAGUACCGUGAGGGAAAGAUGAAAAGAACUUUGGAAAGAGAGUUAAACAGUACGUGAAAUUGCUGAAAGGGAAACGCUUGAAGUCAGUCGCGUCGUCCAGGGAUCAACCUUGCUUUUGCUUGGUGCACUUCCUGGUUUGAUGGGUCAGCAUCAAUUUUGACUAUUGGAAAAAGGUUAAGGGAAUGUGGCAUCUUUGGAUGUGUUUAUAGCCCUUGGUCACAUACAAUGGUUGGGAUUGAGGAACUCAGCACGCCGCAAGGCCGGGUUUUAAACCACGUACGUGCUUAGGA